UUCACCUACGGGAGGCAGCAGUGGGGAAUAUUGCACAAUGGGGGAAACCCUGAUGCAGCGACGCCGCGUGGGCGAGGAAGUACCUCGGUAUGUAAAGCCCUAUCAGCAGGGAAGAAACAGGACAGUACCUGACUAAGAAGCCCCGGCUAACUACGUGCCAGCAGCCGCGGUAAUACGUAGGGGGCAAGCGUUAUCCGGAUUUACUGGGUGUAAAGGGAGCGUAGACGGCUGUGCAAGUCUGAAGUGAAAUGCCGGGGCUCAACCCCGGAACUGCUUUGGAAACUGUACAGCUAGAGUGCAGGAGG
rnacentral:rRNA from 1 species